rnacentral:rRNA from 1 species
UUGACCUCAAAUCAGGUAGGACUACCCGCUGAACUUAAGCAUAUCAAUAAGCGGAGGAAAAGAAACUAACAAGGAUUCCCCUAGUAACUGCGAGUGAAGAGGGAAAAGCUCAAAUUUAAAAUCUGGCAGCUUCGCUGUCCGA